GGAUGUAAGGGCGAUCUGGCUGUGACAUCUGUCACCCCACUGAUCGCCAGGGUUGAUUUGGCUGAUCUGGCUGGCUAGGCAGGUGUCCCAUUCCUCCCUCAACGCUCCAUGUGUGUCCCUCCCGAAGCUGUGUGCUUGGUCAAAGAGGACAACCUUUUUUUUUCUUUUUUCCUACCACUCUGGAGAGGGACCUGGACAGGCUAGAGAGUUGGGCUGAUUCCAGUGAGAUGAGGUUCAACCAGGCCAAGUGCCAGGUCCUGCACUUUGGC
rnacentral:sRNA from 1 species